UACGGAGGGGGCUAGCGUUGUUCGGAAUUACUGGGCGUAAAGCGCGCGUAGGCGGAUCUGCAAGUCGGGGGUGAAAUCCCGAGGCUCAACCUCGGAACUGCCUUCGAUACUGCGGGUCUCGAGUCCGGGAGAGGUGAGUGGAAUUCCUAGUGUAGAGGUGAAAUUCGUGGAUAUUAGGAAGAACACCAGUGGCGAAGGCGGCUCACUGGCCCGGUACUGACGCUGAGGCGCGAAAGCGUGGGGAGCAAACAGG
rnacentral:rRNA from 1 species